UAAUUAGAGCAAUAUCAUUUUACUUUAUUUAUUGCCUCAUUUACCUAUAAACUACUCCGCUAUCAUGUUUCAAAGGUCUCUUCUUGUGUUUUUUUUGUUGUGACAAAUAGUUGGUUACAUAACCUUCUCUCCUUUUGUCACCUAAGAUGAAAAGAAGUUUCCAGAUGAUGGGAAAAGGUGUGAUUUGGUGAACAAUGACCUUAUUAUGUCUGAGGAUGGACAAAGAUGUCAAGUUGCUGAAUUAUGAUCAUUGCAUUUGUAUUCCUGAAGCUAAGUGCUCUGUAAGAUGCUUUUGUGUCAGCAAAGGAGAAAUAAAUGAAUAAAUAAAUAAA